AAUUUACAGCAGAAAUUAUUUUAAUGCUGGAAAAGCUCUUACUCAUCUGAACCAUCAUUCAAAAUGCACAGUGAAAGUCGCCAAGGAGAAGUUUUCCAUCCCACUGUCUGCAGGACUCCUGCAGGUCUUCUGAUGCUUAAGCAUAUCUGUCUCAGGCUGCCCCUAAAAUUAAAAUGAAGUAAUCUGGCAAAAUGAACUCAGAGCACACAAAGAGGAACCACUGGAGACUGAUCUGCAAGAUAUUCAGGUGUUGCUGUUGAGCAGAAAUUGGAAGGAAACUGUGAGGGUCAAUAGAUUGAGAAAAUGGUCCUGCCCAUCAUCAUAGGAAACCAUGAACCUCUCCACUCUGGGACAGGAGUGACCUGCAGUGACCAGCUCUGCUGCCUUAGGAACAUUAGCUGUACUUCUCAAAUAAGUUUCCCUGAUGACAUGCAAAUCAGAGUCUGUUAACCAUUGGCUGUUCCAGAUACGAUGUCAAAGCCAACAAGGGAGACUUGAUGUAGUAUUACUCAAAAGCAGAAGUAUUUUGGUAAGUCACGUAACAUGCAUUAAGUAGUUGAGAAAGUGAUCAUUCAUGAUAACACAUUUUUUUUC
ensembl:lncRNA